rnacentral:misc_RNA from 1 species
GUAGCUCUCAAUAUCCUUUCCAUCUAUCACCACUCUCCUCUCAUCUUCUUGUCCUUUCUCUUCUCAUUGGCUAGCAGUUUCCUCUGUGAUUUUGGGAGUUCAUAUGGCCCCAGUAUUAGCAAUAAUUCUCCUUUCGCAUGUGCAAGUCACAAGUAGCCAAGAGGUCAACAAUUGCCCGAUGCUAUUUUUGGGAGUUCCUUUCUUUUACUAGUCCUGACGAAAGGAUCUUUUACAUUUAAAUCUGUGCUAUUUGGGUUUUAUUAAUUUGUUAGGUU